rnacentral:rRNA from 1 species
AAGCCCUUUGGGGUUUAUAAAACACUUUUUGGCCAGGAAAAGAAAACUUCCAUGGGGUUAAUACCCCCGGGAAAACGGACGGUACCCUGCAGAAAUAAGCCCCGGGCAAAUUACGUGCCCGGCAGCCGCGGUAAUACGUAGGGUGCAAGCGUUAAUUGGAAUUACUGGGCGUAAAGCGUGCGCCGGCGGUUCGGAAAGAAAGAUGUGAAAUCCCAGAGCUUAACUUUGGAACUGCAUUUUUAACUACCGAGCUAGAGUGUGUCAGAGGGAGGUGGAAUUCCGCGUGUAGCAGUGAAAUGCGUAGAUAUGCGGAGGAACACCGAUGGCGAAGGCAGCCUCCUGGGAUAACACUGACGCUCAUGCACGAAAGCGUGGGGAGCAAACAGGAUUAGAUACCCUGGUAGUCCACGCCCUAAACGAUGUCAACUAGCUGUUGGGGCCUUCGGGCCUUGGUAGCGCAGCUAACGCGUGAAGUUGACCGCCUGGGGAGUACGGUCGCAAGAUUAAAACUCAAAGGAAUUGACGGGGACCCGCACAAGCGGUGGAUGAUGUGGAUUAAUUCGAUGCAACGCGAAAAACCUUACCUACCCUUGACAUGUCUGGAAUUCCGAAGAGAUUUGGAAGUGCUCGCAAGAGAACCGGAACACAGGUGCUGCAUGGCUGUCGUCAGCUCGUGUCGUGAGAUGUUGGGUUAAGUCCCGCAACGAGCGCAACCCUUGUCAUUAGUUGCUACGAAAGGGCACUCUAAUGAGACUGCCGGUGACAAACCGGAGGAAGGUGGGGAUGACGUCAAGUCCUCAUGGCCCUUAUGGGUAGGGCUUCACACGUCAUACAAUGGUCGGGACAGAGGGUCGCCAACCCGCGAGGGGGAGCCAAUCCCAGAAACCCGAUCGUAGUCCGGAUCGCAGUCUGCAACUCGACUGCGUGAAGUCGGAAUCGCUAGUAAUCGCGGAUCAGCAUGUCGCGGUGAAUACGUUCCCGGGUCUUGUACACACCGCCCGUCACACCAUGGGAGUGGGUUUUACCAGAAGUAGUUAGCCUAACCGUAAGGGGGGCGAUACCACGUAGAUC